UACGAAGGGGGCUAGCGUUGUUCGGAAUCACUGGGCGUAAAGCGUACGUAGGCGGACCGUUAAGUCGGAGGUGAAAUCCUGGGGCUCAACCCCAGAACUGCCUUCGAUACUGGCGGUCUCGAGUCCGGAAGAGGUGAGUGGAACUGCCAGUGUAGAGGUGAAAUUCGUAGAUAUUGGCAAGAACACCAGUGGCGAAGGCGGCUCACUGGUCCGGUACUGACGCUGAGGUACGAAAGCGUGGGGAGCAAACAGGAUUAGAUACCCUGGUAGUCCACGCCGUAAACGAUGGAAGCCAGCCGUCGGGCAGCAUGCUGUUCGGUGGCGCAGCUAACGCAUUAAGCUUCCCGCCUGGGGAGUACGGUCGCAAGAUUAAA
rnacentral:rRNA from 1 species